CAGCAGCCGCGGGAAUACGAAGGGUGCAAGCGUUACUCGGAAUUACUGGGCGUAAAGCGUGCGUAGGUGGUGGUUUAAGUCCGUUGUGAAAGCCCUGGGCUCAACCUGGGAAUUGCAGUGGAUACUGGGUCACUAGAGUGUGGUAGAGGAUAGUGGAAUUUCCGGUGUAGCAGUGAAAUGCGUAGAGAUCGGAAGGAACAUCUGUGGCGAAGGCGACUAUCUGGGCCAACACUGACACUGAGGCACGAAAGCGUGGGGAGCAAACAGGAUUAGAUACCCCGGUAGUCCCUGUCUCUUAUAA
rnacentral:rRNA from 1 species